rnacentral:rRNA from 1 species
UCUGGUAUGAAAGGUUUGACGAGAUAUUAACUGUUUCAUAAAAAUUUAUAAUAGAAUUUUAUUUUUUAGUCAAAAAGCUAAAAUAUAUUUAAAAGACGAGAAGACCCUAUAAAUCUUUAUAUUUAGGUUAUUAUAAUUUUAUAGAUUUUUUUUGUUAUAAUAAUUGAUAAUAUUUUAUUGGGGUGAUAUUAAAAUUUGAUAAACUUUUAAUUGUUUAAAUCAUUAAUUUAUGAAUAAUUGAUCCGUUAUUAGCGAUUAAAAAAAUAAGUUACCUUAGGGAUAACAGCGA